rnacentral:rRNA from 1 species
UGGGGAAUAUUGCGCAAUGGGGGAAACCCUGACGCAGCAACGCCGCGUGAAUGAAGAAGGCCUUAGGGUUGUAAAGUUCUGUUUUCUGGGACGAUAAUGACGGUACCAGAGGAGGAAGCCACGGGUAAAUACGUG